ACUCCUACGGGAGGCAGCAGUGGGGAAUAUUGCACAAUGGGCGCAAGCCUGAUGCAGCCAUGCCGCGUGUAUGAAGAAGGCCUUCGGGUUGUAAAUGUACUUCAGCAGUGAGGAAGGUGGGUAUGUUAAUAGCAUACUCAUUUGACGUUAGCUGCAGAAGAAGCACCGGCUAACUCCGUGCCAGCAGCCGCGGUAAUACGGAGGGUGCGAGCGUUAAUCGGAAUUACU
rnacentral:rRNA from 1 species